rnacentral:misc_RNA from 1 species
AGCAUUUCAAGAUUGUGAAUGUACAUCACAAACAUAUCCCUUCAACCUCAACAUUCAACAUUCUUUCUGUUCGAUUCUUUUUUUGUCCCCCUCGCACUCUUUCCGUCCAGAUUCUAACUAAUGCUCUCUUACCCUUAUACCCUGUUUAGUUCAAUUUGAUCCCAUCAUAUCCAGCAUGUUGGAAACGCAAAGGAGACCACCGGUGCCGGAGGGUGUUGCUUGUGGGAAUGGUUACAUAAAUGGGGUAGUUUCAACAAGGAGCACUGCUACAAUAUCAGAAGUGGAUGAAUUCUGCUAUGCUUUUGGAGGGAAGAGGCCAAUCCAUA